AAAACAGAAGUAUGUAUACUUUCGGUUUCGGCCUGAAAAAAGGCUUUAGCCCUGUUUUA
rnacentral:tRNA from 1 species